AGCAGUGGGGAAUAUUGCACAAUGGGCGAAAGCCUGAUGCAGCAACGCCGCGUGGGGGAUGACGGCCUUCGGGUUGUAAACCUCUUUUAGCAGGGAAGAAGCGAAAGUGACGGUACCUGCAGAAAAAGCACCGGCUAACUACGUGCCAGCAGCCGCGGUAAUACGUAGGGUGCAAGCGUUGUCCGGAAUUAUUGGGCGUAAAGAGCUCGUAGGCGGUUGGUCGCGUCUGCUGUGAAAACCCGAGGCUCAACCUCGGGCCUGCAGUGGGUACGGGCCAACUAGAGUGCGGUAGGGGAGAUCGGAAUUCCUGGUGUAGCGGUGGAAUGCGCAGAUAUCAGGAGGAACACCAAUGGCGAAGGCAGAUCUCUGGGCCGUAACUGACGCUGAGGAGCGAAAGCGUGGGGAGCGAACAGGAUUAGAUACCCUGGUAGUCCACGCCGUAAACGGUGGGAA
rnacentral:rRNA from 1 species